rnacentral:rRNA from 1 species
UACCAGCACCCCGAGGGGUCGGGACGUUUAUUGGGCCUAAAGCAUCCGUAGCCGGUUCUACAAGUCUUCCGUUAAAUCCAACUGCUUAACAGGUGGGCUGCGGAAGAUACUAUAGAGCUAGGAGGCGGGAGAGGCAAGCGGUACUCGAUGGGUAGGGGUAAAAUCCGUUGAUCCAUUGAAGACCACCAGUGGCGAAGGCGGCUUGCCAGAACGCGCUCGACGGUGAGGGAUGAAAGCUGGGGGAGCAAACCGG